CGGGAAGAGCUCAAAUUUGAAAUCUGGCGUCCUCAGGGCGUCCGAGUUGUAAUCUAUAGAGGCGUUUUCCGUGCCGGACCGUGUCCAAGUUCCUUGGAACAGGAUAUCAAAGAGGGUGACAAUCCCGUACUUGACACGACGACCGGUGCUCUGUGAUACGUCUUCUACGAGUCGAGUUGUUUGGGAAUGCAGCUCAAAAUGGGUGGUGAGUUCCAUCUAAAGCUAAAUAUUGGCGAGAGACCGAUAGCGAACAAGUACCGUGAGGGAAAGAUGAAAAGCACUUUGGAAAGAGAGUUAAACAGUACGUGAAAUUGUUGAAAGGGAAACGAUUGAAGUCAGUCGUGACCGAGAGGCUCAGCCGGUUCUGCCGGUGUAUUCCCCUCGGUCGGGUCAACAUCAGUUUUGUCCGGUGGAUAAGGGCGGUAGGAAGGUGGCACCCUCGGGUGUGUUAUAGCCUGCCGUCGCAUACAUCGGGUGAGACUGAGGAACGCAGCUCGCCUUUAUGGCCGGGGUUCGCCCACGUCCGAGCUUAGGAUGUUGACAUAAUGGCUUUAAACGACCCGUCUU
rnacentral:rRNA from 1 species